rnacentral:rRNA from 1 species
GACGAACGCUGGCGGCGUGCCUAAUACAUGCAAGUAGAACGCUGAAGGAGGAGCUUGCUUCUCCGGAUGAGUUGCGAACGGGUGAGUAACGCGUAGGUAACCUGCCUGGUAGCGGGGGAUAACUAUUGGAAACGAUAGCUAAUACCGCAUAAGAGUAGAUGUCGCAUGACAUUUGCUUAAAAGGUGCAACUGCACCACUACCAGAUGGACCUGCGUUGUAUUAGCUAGUUGGUGAGGUAACGGCUCACCAAGGCAACGAUACAUAGCCGACCUGAGAGGGUGAUCGGCCACACUGGGACUGAGACACGGCCCAGACUCCUACGGGAGGCAGCAGUAGGGAAUCUUCGGCAAUGGACGGAAGUCUGACCGAGCAACGCCGCGGGAGUGAAGAAGGGUUUCGGAUCGUAAAGCUCUGUUGUAAGAGAAGAACGAGUGUGAGAGUGGAAAGUUCACACUGUGACGGUAGCUUACCAGAAAGGGACGGCUAACUACGUG